UACGGAGGGUGCAAGCGUUAUCCGGAUUCACUGGGUUUAAAGGGUGCGUAGGUGGGCAAGUAAGUCAGUGGUGAAAUCUCCGGGCUUAACCCGGAAACUGCCAUUGAUACUAUUUGUCUUGAAUACUGUGGAGGUCAGCGGAAUAUGUCAUGAAGCGGUGAAAUGCUUAGAUAUGACAUAGAACACCAAUUGCGAAGGCAGCUGGCUACACAAAUAUUGACACUGAGGCACGAAAGCGUGGGGAUCAAACAGG
rnacentral:rRNA from 1 species